rnacentral:rRNA from 1 species
UACAGAGGGUGCGAGCGUUGUUCGGAAUUAUUGGGCGUAAAGGGCGCGUAGGCGGUGCGGUAAGUCACCUGUGAAAUCUCCUGGCUCAACCGUGGAGGGUCAUUGGAAACUGGGGGACUUGAGUGCAGGAGAGAAGAGUGGAAUUCCACGUGUAGCGGUGAAAUGCGUAGAGAUGUGGAGGAACACCAGUGGCGAAGGCGACUCUUUGGCCUGUAACUGACGCUGAGGCGCGAAAGCGUGGGGAGCAAACAGG